GACGAACGCUGGCGGCGUGCUUAACACAUGCAAGUCGAACGGAAAGUCCCUUCUUUUGUGGGGUGCUCGAUUGGCGAACUUGUGAGUAAGACGGGAGUAACCUGCCCUUGACUUUGUGAUAACUUCAGGAAACUAGGGCUAAUACCUGACAGCUGCUCCUGCUGCAUGGUGGGGGUUGGAAUGUUUCGGCGGGUGGGGAUGGACUGGCGGCUGAUGAGCUUGUUGGGGGGGUAGUGGAUUACCAAGGCUUUGACGGGUAGCCGGCCUGAGAGGGUCACCGGCCACAUUGGGACUGAGAUACGACCCAGCCUACUACGGGAGGCAGGAGUGGGGAAUAUUGCACAAUGGGAGGAAGCCUGCUGCAGCACCGCCGCGUGGGGGAUAACGGCAUUCGGGUUGUAAACCGCUUUCGCAUGUGCAGAAGCGUGAGUGACGGUAAUGGGUAAAGAAGCACCGGCUAACUACGUG
rnacentral:rRNA from 1 species